rnacentral:lncRNA from 1 species
AGUGGGUGGGUUGGGGAGCAGGGGGAGGGGAUGAUAGGGGAUUUUCAGAGAGGAAACUAGGAAAGGGGAAAGCAUUUGAAAUGUAAAUAAAUAAACUAUCUAAUAAAAAAAUGGACUGCUUCUUCUCAUCAGAAUUCUCCUUGGUGAACAACACAGCAGGUCAUCCUCUAAAGAGCCAAGUCUAAUCUCCUGCAGAAGGCCUCUCUGUGCUCCCAGCCACAGUUUCCACCAAGCCAUGCUGCCUGCCAGGUCAAGAUGUGAUCAUUCUGCUGCUGCUUCAGUACCAUGCCUGCUGCCUGAGCCAUGAUGGUGAUGUGUGCAUCCAACUGGAACCAUGAGUCCAACUUCAAACACACCCUUUCUUCUGGAAGUUGUCUUUCUCAUGGUCUUUUCUUACAGCCAUAGAAAGUAACUAACAUAACCAUCAUCUAGGUACAGAAGAGUGACUUCAAACGUCUGAAGGAUUCAUUCCAAGCUGUGAAGGGGUUUUGCCCAGUGGAUUUGGUCACAAAACAAGUGAUCAAAUUCCAUAAUGCUAGCUUAGAUGGGAUACCCAGAGCACUCACUGCUUCAACCAGAUACACUUAGGAAAUGUGAGUGUUGAAAAUGGAUUUGAUGCUGCAUAGCAAAUAAGGUCUCCAUAUAUUUGCUGCUCCUUACAUCUCUGAGAAAUUCAUAACUUAGCAGCCAACUUUUGCCCUUCAAUACCAGGUUUCAUGAUACUUAGAUGAAAAAGUCACACUCCAAAACAUACUCUGCAUCAUCAAACAAUAUAACACAGAGAAGGUUCAACAAAAUGAGUUAAGCAGCACUGUUGAUCAAAGGGAAAGGAUGAGGAAGCAUGCAAUCUCUGUGUCUUCAAACUGUUCAAAUGUUAGAAUUUAGUUCACUGGAUCCACUGAGAAACGGACUAGAAUACAGCAAAGCAUGUGGAAUUUUCAGACAUAGGCACGUUUUCAUACACCACGUGUUACCGGACUCAUUAUCCCCUUCCUCAUUGUGUAAAUAUGCUUGAGCCAAUUAUUAAAGAAGAAUAAAGGACCAUAUGAUGCAAAGUUAAAUUUCCAGGACAUCUGCCACUUCCAUGAAGAUAACACUGAAGAUAAAGGAGAGCACCCUGAAGAGAUUUCCCUGAAUUGUUAGUCACACAACAGGUGUAUAUUAACAGCAUUUAUUUACCAGUAUAUUUAAAUUCAUGGUUCAAAAUAAUCUUUAUCUUAGGGGUUUGUGCACAUGUGUUUACAUUACUCUGCCUGUGUUAUGCUUGUGUGUGUAUUUCUCCCCUCCCUCUCUCUGUCUCUCUGUCUCUCUGUCUCUCUCUCUCUUGUGUGUUUCUGUAUAUGUGUGUGUUUGUUUGUGUGUGUGUGUGUUUGUGUGUGUGUGUGUGUGUGUGUGUGUGUGUGUGUGUGUGUAGACUGGAGAGAAAUUUCAGGAGCUGGAUCUCUUCUUCCACAGAGUUAGAAAGAGGCUCUGACCAUUUCUGCUGCUCUCUAUGGUCUAAUCUGUCUAGCUUGUCUUUCAGGGCUGUUCUACUCUCUUAGCCUCCAAUCUGGAUUUAGGGGUGCAGAGAUUACAGGCUUUUUCCUUUUUUCAGGAUGAAAUUCAGCUUAUUAGGGUUCCAAGGCAAGUGCACUAAUCCACUGAGCCACCUGGUUGGUAUAUUUUAUGUAUAUAUACAUGCAUGAGUCCAUGUAUGUGUGUAUGUUUUUAUACAUAUAUAUGUGUAUAUGAAUAUGUGUAUAUAUAUACAUAUAUUUAUGCAUUUAUAUUCUAGUUUUAAAAUAAAGGGGAAAGAGGCUCUAGAGAGACAGAGACAUCAUAUCAAUUAAGAACAGGGUGUCUUUGAACUGACAAAGACAAUCCUGCCUGAUUUGUGGGUUCAUGAAUUAAAGGUGUGCCCAGCAUACCAAGCCUCCUAUUGUGCACACCCUGCCUAUUAGUCCUUUGGACUUCAAUAGGUAAAAUGUGAAGGCUGAGGCCUGGAUCCAGGAAGUUAAAAAUAUCCUAAGACUGACUACUUAUUUUCCCUUAUGAUACUUUUAAUCAUUUUCAUAUCAAACACAUUCACUCUAGGAGCUAGAAAAGGGGGCUGAUGAGUUUUUAACAAGUAUUGCUCUUGCCUAGCACCUGGGUUUCAUUUAUAAUACAUAAACAUUUGCGGACAAAAUUCUGGAACACCAAGUCCGGGGGUGAAAUAACCUCUUCUGAUGUCUGUGGGAAGCACACACACACAUGGGACACAGACAAAAUACACAUGCAAAGCAUUCACACACUUAAAGCCAGUCAAUCUAAAAAGAGAAACAUAAAUAUGUUGGUUGCUUCCAUGUUGACUGUACCUACUUCCAGGAGCUGGUAUUAUUUACUUUCUGUCAUUUUAUGAAUUCUCCUCACUGUGUUACAAAUAUGCUCAUUUUUGUUGUUGUUUCUUUCUUGUUUCCAUAGUCUAAUUUCCUAUCACUUACAUUUUAACUUAGUGGUUCUCAACCUAUCUGCCAUGACCAAUUGGAGGAGGUGCAUAGGACAGGCUCACACAAGUUGCCUAAGACUGUCUGAAAACACUGAUAGGACAUUACAACUGAUAACAUUAUCAAGCCUACAGUUAUGGAGCAGCAACAUAAACAAUUUCAACGUUGGGAGUCACCACAACAUGAGGAACUCUAUUAAAGAAAGGGUCACAUCAUUAGGGAGGUAGGGAAGCACUACCUCAUACAGGGCCUGGCAAGGAGUGAGGAUAUGAAGGAGAUGAGGGGACUGUUCAAGGCUAGGUUUCCUUUCCCUGACACUACUUGCAGUACUCAAGGCACAGGCACACACAUCCAACAUUUUCCUUCAUAACAAGCGAAUAUGUUACUUAUCAAAUAGGGGAGAAUUACCAUUAAGGAUGCUUUUUCUUCACAACUGUUAGGUAUCGGCUCUCCCCGAGAACACACAUAAACUCCAGAACUCCAAAAACCCACAAAACCCUUUUGCAUCCUCUUCUGUAGUCUAAGUAAAGUUUUGCUAGAUUCUUCCUGCAAUGCAAAGGUAGCGAGUUAACUUUUUGUUUGGUUCUGAAAUUAACUCUUUUGGUUUUGAGUGCAUACUUUCAAAUCAACUUUACUUCUUAGUAAUCACAGGGUAUUGACACAUGAAAAAUAAAAACCAUAAGUAAACAUGAAAUAUCUUCUAAUAUGCUUAUCUAUUUUCAAAUUGCUAGGAUAUCAUCAAGAUGUAAAAAUAUUUAGGCUAGACUAGAUUAAGAGAAAAUCAUGAAAUGAGAAAUGGGACAUUGCUCUUCCAGUUGAAACUAAGCUUAAUUCAUUUUGUGCCAAUUUUUCUACAUUUUAUAUAAGAUGAUCAUUAAUAUUGAUGUAACCUCUUUUGGCAGUCUUUCUCCUCCAUUGCUGGGAGGGGGGCAUAAAAUGCACAUUUUCCUAUUUAUAAAUAAAUGCCAGUUAAAUUGCCACUGCUGUCCUUACCAUAGUACCUGUGGAACUGCUUUAUAGAAACACAUUGGACCACUGAGUCACAUUCAAAAAAUCAUUAAAAUGUCACUUAUCAUUCACACAGCACCUCACUCUAGGGCUACAGGUUAUACAGAAACAAGUUUCCUAAACUCCAGCAUCUCAUAGUGAUAAAGUAGACUCAUACUGAAUAUGGAAGUAUCUAAACAAAACACUACAACAUUUUAAGUGUUUGAAAAUGGCACAAAGAAUAUACAUGUAAAUUUCAAAGAUAGAAAAAGAACUUAUAUGGAAGUAUAUAGUAAUUGACUCUGCCUCUAGAAAUGCUGGCUAACUGGGGAAGGACAGUUAUUGUUUAACUAGAUGAAGAUCUUUCUACAUACCCUUAUAAGAAUCAAAUAGAAAAUGCUCUAAUCUCUUCAUAAGGCAAAUUUGAUGAACAUAAUUGCUAAAUAUCCACAAUUUCUUCUCAGUCUAAACACAGACGAAAGAGAGAAACCAAAGAGAGGCUCUCAUAUAUGAUCCUGAAAUAGGAGUGCCCAAGGGUAGAUAAAACUUAUGGGCAUUCUGCUGAGGGUAAAGGCACUUUGGAGAUUGCUGGAUCAUUGAAAUAUCUGGACUUACUAAAUGGUAUUCUGGUCUAUUAUCACAGUCACUUUUUAAAAUCAGUCUAAUGUGUAUUCAUUUCUGCAAACAUUACUUUGUCAAACAUCAAACACCUCCUAUUAUGUGAGACCUGCACUCAGUCUUCACUCCCUAUGUCUCUUGAGUCCAUUCUCAGAUUUGGCCACUACUACCCAUAAGGACUUACUGCUCACUUGCAAUUGAUAGAAAGUUCCACAUCUACAAUAUGGUUUUCUCUGAAUCACAUUUCCAUAUAAAACUGGGAUAUUAGACUACUGCUGAAUUAAGACAAUUCAUAAGAAACUUGAUUUCACAGAGAAGCAUUUUACCUUGAUACAGGAAGUAUACCUGACAUCUUCUGCUUUUGAACACCUAAAAACAACAAUGGGAGGUUUGUCAGGGAGCCAUUAGAAUGCAAAUAUGCAACCUUCUUUCAACAUUAGAUUUGUGGCUGGAUAUCUUGUUCAUGGAUGAAAACCCCAGGCUAACUAUCCAGUAAACUUUAGGGGAUUCUCUGUCACCACCUCCAGUCUCACCAUAAGGGCCCCAGCAUACAGCAGCACAUGAGACUGUCAGACCUCAUGUGGAUUCUGGGCAUCCAAACUCUCAUUCUCACACGUGCAUAGCAAGCACUUUAUCCAUUGGAUCUUCCACCUAGCUAUGGAUCCUUUUCAGCUUUCAUGCUGCAUGAGAGAUAUCAUCAGUAAAUUCAACAUGGUUUGCUCUAUAAAUAAUUAUUCAGCUUGUGAUUAUAGAAAAAUAAAGAGCUGAAAUAGUAUCACAUAGAGGCAAAGACAGUGUCAGGUUCUGAAUGUUAUAUUUUCUACAGAUUAAUAUAUAUAAAAUGCACACAUUCUUUUUUUAAGAUUUCUUGUUUCUUUUUUUUAAUUAGAUAUUUCUUCAUUUACAUUUCCAAUGCUACCCCAAAAGUCCCUCAAACACUCCACCCCCCCACUUCCCUUCCCACCCAUUCCUACUUCUUGGCUCUGGUGUUCCCCUGUACUGAGGCAUAUAAAGUUUGCACGACCAAUGGGAUUCUCUUCACAUUGAUGGCCGAAUAGGCCAUCUUCUGA